rnacentral:rRNA from 1 species
GACGAACCGUGCGAACGUUAUUCGGAAUCACUGGGCUUAAAGGGCGCGUAGGCGGGCGGCCGAGUCCGGGGUGAAAGCCCCCAGCUCAACUGGGGAAGUGCCUCGGAUACCGGCCGUCUCGAGGGGGAUAGGGGCGUGCGGAACUUCCGGUGGAGCGGUGAAAUGCGUAGAUAUCGGAAGGAACACCGGUGGCGAAAGCGGGACUCUGGGCCGAUACUGACGCUGAGGUGCGAAAGCGUGGGGAGCAAACAGG